GGUUAAGCGACUAAGCGUACACGGUGGAUGCCCUGGCAGUCAGAGGCGAUGAAGGGCGUGCUAAUCUGCGAUAAGCGCCGGUAAGGUGAUAUGAACCGUUAUAACCGGCGAUACCCGAAUGGGGAAACCCAGUGUGAUUCGUCACACUAUCAUUAACUGAAUCCAUAGGUUAAUGAGGCGAACCGGGGGAACUGAAACAUCUAAGUACCCCGAGGAAAAGAAAUCAACCGAGAUUCCCCCAGUAGCGGCGAGCGAACGGGGAGGAGCCCAGA
rnacentral:rRNA from 1 species